AAAAUAAUAUAAAUAGAAGUAACUCUUUCAUUGCAGCUCAUUUUAUCAUAGAUUGUAGCAUAAUUCCACAUUGUAAAAAUGCCAUCUAUCAAAAUUCAAACAGGGUUUCUGAUUGGUAUUGUCGUAUGCUUACUUUCUGCUAAUCUGUCGUCGGCUGGUUUAUCUUUGAGCGUAGAUAAUGUUUCACAUGAUUUAGGACUAACAUCAGGUGGUGGUG